UGCUCAUAUAUUUCUCAUUUUCAAUCUAACUUCAGAGGAGAAAAGUCGCGUUUAUCCGAAGCUUUUCUCACUUCGUGUAAUUUUUAAUAAAAGAAAAUGUGUUAUUAUAAAAAUAUCACAUCACUUAUACCACAAAGCUUUAAACAAAUCAUUUAAUUGAGUGAAAUACUUGAAAGAAUCAAGAUGACUUAGAUAAUCAUGGAUUAUAAAUAAGAUGUUUCUCGUUUGUCUCUGAGAUAAUCAUCGUUGAAGUUCCUGCGAAGAUCAAGAGGAAACCCUGAGCUCAACAUGCUCACGUUAGACGGAAACUUGUAUGAAAAAUGCCAUUCAACGUAAAAGAUUUUCGCGCCAAAAUGGCAUAUGGAUGACGCCAAAGUAGAGAAUUUAUAGAAAAUUAAUUCCAUCAAGUUUUUUUCCGAAAAAAAAAGAGAGUGAUUCAUGGUGACGAUGGCUUUUAUCUUAAUCCCUCUGGAAAAUUUGAUGAAAACGCUUUAGGUUAGUUCAUAGUUUUAUUUCUUCGUAUAGUCUAGUUGCGUCUUAGUGAUGAUAACUUUACCUUUUCAGGUUCCCUCUACUGAGCGAACCCAAAUAAAAACCAUGCUGUCAAUCUUUUUGUCUGAAAUUUAAUUAAAUAAUAAAUUUUGAUUUAAAACAAAGCGAGACUUUACUAAAACAUUUUUAUUAUAACUUUGCAGAUUUUGCGAUUAUAAUGACAAGAGAUCUUUACUCUGGAAGCGUUUAAGUUGAAAAACAAUUUCCUUAAAGGUGAGAAUCUUUGUUAAUUUAGCCUUUGUAUGUUAUUGAAAAGGAAAGCGUCUUUAUGAUGAUAUCCUUACCUAUUCAGGUUCCCUCUACUGAGCGAACCCAAAUAAAAAACCAUGCUGUUAAUUUUAUUCUGAAAAUAAUAAAUUAUUAAAUAUAUUAUAGUUUCUUUCUUCCAAACUAGAAAACUAAUGAAUUUUUU